GCCCAGCCGUAAUACACAAUUAAAUUACCAAUUGUCCGCCAAACAACUACGAGUUACACUUAAAACUUAAAAGACUUGACGGUACUUCACCACAACCUAGAGGAGCCUGUCUAAUAACCGAUAAUCCACGAUUAAUCUCACCCUUUCUUGCCCAACAGUCUAUAUACCGCCGUCGCCAGCCUACCUUGUAAAAGAAAUAAAGUAAGCCAAACAGUACUACACUAAAACGACAGGUCGAGGUGUAACCAAUGAAAGGGGCUAAGAUGGGCUACAUUCUCCAACCGAGAAUACGAACAGCACUAUGAAACAAGUGCCCGAAGGCGGAUUUAGCAGUAAGAUAAGAAUAAAACACUUAACUGAACACAACGCAAUGAAGUGCGUACACACCGCCCGUCAUCCCUGUCACCAAAACAUCCAAUAUUAAUAAACCAACGAAAGAACCAAGCAGGGCAAGUCGUAACAUGGUAAGUGUACUGGAAAGUGUACUUAGAAA
rnacentral:rRNA from 1 species